UGAUACAUCUCACUUAAACAAACACCAUCAACGCUCAAUCUCUCUACUAUCUUCACGGUCUACUUCCAUUUGCCAUUAUUCACUAAUAACCAUGACUUUAUUUAAUGAUAUUUCCUAGAGAAAAUAUUUAGUGCUCUGAAACCAUAGAGAAAAAGGGCAACAGACUCCUACUUUGUAGCUGCGAUUCGAUGCAAAUUAAGUUGUUUGUCUUACAAAUCUAUUUAAUCAAGAAACACCAAAUACUCUCUUUUAUUUGUCAAUUACAAGUUUUUGCAGUCUAUUUCCUUUGGCAACUGACAUAUGCCAUUUCUUUGUUAAGUAUUCUAUCAUAUAUUAAAACAUAAGAGGGAAACAUACACACCCUCUUCUUAGAAAGAAAGUUAACCUAAAUAUAGGACAAUUGGAAGAUGAUCAGAUACCAAUUUGGGUGCUCAAGGGACAAAUUCUAUACCUCUAUAAAUUUUAUUUGGUUUGUUUUAAUCAAACAUGUCAAUUUCAAGCUGUUAUGAAGGAGACAAGCUUGAUGAUCUCUUUAAAACAGGAGCAUAGAGUUAGCAAAAGCUUCGAAAGGGGAGCAAUUGCCAGAUAAAAUUUGGAUGAAGCAACAACUAACGCAACAAUUAGCGAUCGGAGAUAAUGAUGUCACCAAGGUGCUCGAGAGAAUGUCUGAAAGAGAAAAUUUUGCAGAUAAUGAUAGCAUUAAAAGACCACUUAGAAAAGCUCCCUUGGUUCCUC